rnacentral:rRNA from 1 species
GGAUCCAGACUUUGACUCUGGCUCAGGAUGAACGCUGGCGGCGUGCUUAACACAUGCAAGUCGAACGAAGCACUUUAUUUGAUUUCCUUCGGGACUGAUUAUUUUGUGACUGAGUGGCGGACGGGUGAGUAACGCGUGGGUAACCUGCCUUGUACAGGGGGAUAACAGUUGGAAACGGCUGCUAAUACCGCAUAAGCGCACAGCAUCGCAUGAUGCAGUGUGAAAAACUCCGGUGGUAUAAGAUGGACCCGCGUUGGAUUAGCUAGUUGGUGAGGUAACGGCCCACCAAGGCGACGAUCCAUAGCCGACCUGAGAGGGUGACCGGCCACAUUGGGACUGAGACACGGCCCAAACUCCUACGGGAGGCAGCAGUGGGGAAUAUUGCACAAUGGGCGAAAGCCUGAUGCAGCGACGCCGCGUGAGCGAAGAAGUAUUUCGGUAUGUAAAGCUCUAUCAGCAGGGAAGAUAAUGACGGUACCUGACUAAGAAGCACCGGCUAAAUACGUGCCAGCAGCCGCGGUAAUACGUAUGGUGCAAGCGUUAUCCGGAUUUACUGGGUGUAAAGGGAGCGCAGG